rnacentral:rRNA from 1 species
UACGUAGGGUGCAAGCGUUAUCCGGAUUUAUUGGGCGUAAAGAGUUCGUAGGCGUCUCAACGCAUCUUGCUUCAAAUUCCAGGGCUCAACCCUGGGCAGGGGUGAGAGAUGGUUGGGAUUUGAGUUUACUAGGGGAUACUGGAACUUGUGGUGUAGCAGUGAAAUGCGUUGAUAUCACAAGGAACACCAAGGGCGAAGGCAGGUAUCUGGGGUAACACUGACGCUGAGGAACGAAAGCUAGGGGAGCGAAAGGG